GAACCUUACCUGGUCUUGACAUCCCGGACGACCCUUAGGAACGUAGGGGUGGCUUCCAUCUGGAAGAAUCUGGAGACAGGUGCUGCAUGGCUGUCGUCAGCUCGUGUCGUGAGAUGUUGGGUUAAGUCCCGCAACGAGCGCAACCCUUGCCUUUAGUUGCCAGCAGUUCGGCUGGGCACUCUAAAGGGACUGCCGGUGUUAAACCGGAGGAAGGUGGGGAUGACGUCAAGUCCUCAUGGCCUUUAUGACCAGGGCUACACACGUACUACAAUGGCCGAUACAAAGGGCAGCGACACUGCGAGGUGAAGCCAAUCCCGUAAAAUCGGUCUCAGUCCGGAUUGGAGUCUGCAACUCGACUCCAUGAAGUUGGAAUCGCUAGUAAUCGUGGAUCAGCAUGCCACGGUGAAUACGUUCCCGGGCCUU
rnacentral:rRNA from 1 species